rnacentral:lncRNA from 1 species
GAGGCCAAUUGCACCCAUUUGAUCUCAUGCACGUCUCCCUCCGUGCAGAUAUUGCUCUUUUUGGGAUCCCCCCUCUUGUUGUCCCUUUGCUUUUCUUUUCCCAGCAAUAAUUGGAGCUGCGUGCCGCUCCAAAAACUUUGAGGGCAUGUGUUUGUUGCCCAUGCCAUGCCAUGCCAGCUUCCUUAGGCUGUCCACAUGCAUGCCCUUUCGCAGCUUAAAGGUACAAGGUGCUCAGCCCUC